GAGUCCCCUUGGAAUUCGCUCUGGACUGCGUCGCCCGCUGGGAGAGCAUGACAUCGCCUUGGAUUCAAAAGCCCCUCCUCCUGUGCAGGAAAGACUUCGGUCCCACACUUCUCCCAACCUGUAAGGAGGCUCCCUGUUUAUGAAUGGACGCUGUCCAUCCACCACUUCUCCGGGCCCAAGGAUGGUCUGCGAUUUGGGGAAAGGCGACUGAUGGCGCAUGGUCCCGGGACGCUGGCAUCGGAGGGGUAGUGGGCCUGUUAGCUGAGUGGGCCUGUCUGCUAUGGGAAUCACCGUAUCAGCAGGGAGAGAUCUUAGGCUUCCUCUGCUCUCGGUACCCUUGAACUCCAUCCCCACAUCCAUGAAUCCGUAGCACCCCACGAGCCCGGCUCCAGCCGGCCUGCUCCAGAAAAGCAGGCGGCACCUGCCCCCCAUUGGCUUCAGACACAGGUCGGCCGGGGAACCAGAGGUCAGCCGUGCCCUAAACACCGCGCGGCGGCUUGAACCUGCGGGUCCCGCACCCCCGGUGGGCGGGGCGGACUCGCUCGCACUCCCUCCCGGCCCUGCCCGCCUGCUUCUCCCGCCCGGGACGCGCCUCCCUCCCGCAGCUCAGUCCCGCCAGCUCCGCGUCUCCGCCGCCGUCUGCUCCUGCCGGACCGGAGCAUGGAACCCGGACAGCCCCGGGAGGCCCGCGAACCCGGGCCGGGGGCUGAGACCGCCGCGGCGCCGCGCUGGGAGGAAGCCAAGACUUUCUACGACAACCUCUCGCCCAAGAAGAAACCCAAAUCGCCAAAGCCUCAGAAUGCAGUCACCAUUGCUGUGUCCUCUCGUGCGCUGUUCCGAAUGGACGAGGAGCAGAGGAUCUACACGGAGCAGGGCGUAGAAGAGUACGUCCGCUACCAGCUGGAGCAUGAGAACGAGCCCUUCAGCCCCGGGCCUGCCUUCCCCUUUGUGAAGGCCCUGGAGGCUGUGAACACGCGACUUCGGGAGCUGUACCCCGAUAGUGAAGACAUCUUUGACAUUGUCCUCAUGACCAACAACCACGCUCAAGUAGGAGUUCGUCUCAUCAACAGUAUCAACCAUUAUGACCUGUUCAUUGAGCGUUUCUGCAUGACAGGGGGGAACAGCCCCAUCUGCUACCUCAAGGCCUAUCACACCAACCUCUACUUGUCGGCUGAUGCAGAAAAAGUUCGAGAAGCCAUUGAUGAGGGGAUUGCAGCCGCCACCAUCUUCAGCCCCAGCAGAGACGUGGUUGUGUCCCAGAGCCAGCUCCGCGUGGCCUUCGAUGGGGACGCUGUACUCUUCUCCGAUGAGUCAGAGCGCAUCGUCAAGGCCCAUGGGCUGGACAGAUUCUUCGAGCAUGAGAAGGCCCAUGAGAACAAACCUUUGGCACAGGGCCCCCUAAAGGGCUUUCUGGAAGCACUGGGUAGACUGCAGAAGAAAUUCUACUCCAAAGGCCUGCGGCUGGAGUGCCCAAUUCGCACUUAUUUGGUGACAGCGCGCAGUGCGGCCAGUUCUGGGGCCCGGGCCCUCAAGACCCUGCGCAGCUGGGGCCUGGAGACGGAUGAGGCCUUAUUCCUAGCAGGGGCACCAAAGGGCCCCCUUCUUGAGAAGAUCCGCCCACACAUCUUCUUCGAUGACCAGAUGUUCCAUGUGGCUGGGGCUCAGGAGAUGGGCACGGUGGCUGCCCAUGUGCCUUACGGUGUGGCCCAGACUCCUCGGCGGGCUGCCGCUGCAAAGCAGGCCCUGGGCCCACACAGUAGCUGAGCCACCCUGCUCCGGGCUCCCUGUCACACUUCUGGGCCUCGUCUGGUGAGGCCGGAAGUGGGUCCAUUCUGGUUCCUCGCCGUCCACCUUCCUGCAUGUUACCCUCAUCCCUCUGAACCAGCUUUUAGGCAAAGCUCUGCCUGCCAACCCCCUCACCUCAGCCCUGGUUCUGCCAAUCACUUCCACCUGUCGUGCUAUGAGGACGUUCUCCCAGCAGAGAAAGAGAACUCUAGCCCCAAAUUUGAAGAAAGCAUAGGCCCUAAAGUGAGAAGUUGUCCAGGCUGAGCCUGAGGGCAGGGUGCUGCAGCGAGAACGUGGGAAGCAUCAGGUCUGACCUGAGACUGAAGAUGCUAAGGAAGGGAUGGCUUAGAGAGGUGAACAUGCACCAGCACGAACCUUUCUGGGGAUAGUGAGUAAAAGCCAGUCAGAGUUACCCCGGAGGUGAUGAGCUAUCACUGGAGUGCAGUGCAAAGGAUUCUGGGAUGAGCUGACCUCCCUGGGAGGAACCAGUGAUUACUGCGUCUUUGCACGAAUCCCUCGGCCCUUUCUUCUCUACAUGACGAGUGACGGUCCUCGUUCUUUGCUAAGCAGCCCUGGCACUCAGAGAAAGGGUUAAAGAGGGAUGGUUGGUCCUCUAUGAAGACAAGAAGGGGCAAAUAGGUGCGUCUGUGUGCCCUCAUCGCCUGGCUCCUGAGGGGAUUUCAGCAAUGAGGAAACCUAGAACUGUCGUCAGAGGGCCAGGAGAGGAGCCUGGAGGUGGAGUGAAUGGCAAGCAGGGACUCUGCCAUCUGUCCUUCUGGGCAUUUGACUCAGGAUCUGAAUGAGUACGUGUUCUGGAUGGUGUGUCUCGGGGUGAGAGCUGCAGGAAGGAAGGAAAAGAAGACCCGGGAGCUCCAGGAAAUGAGCUCCAGCUUGGGCCAGAAGAGUAACAACGGGUGGGUCUUGUACGUCUGUAUCUGUGGCAUGCUGUUCCUGGAAGGCAAAGAUGAGGAGGUAGACACCAACCGCAGCCGCUUUACGGAGCCACCGGCAUUAUGGCGCCCAGAAGGGCAUGAGGUGAAGCGUCAUUGCAAAGGUCAUUUUCAUCGUUGUAUCCAGGACCCUUCUGGCCAGCAGAGGAUGCCUGGCAGUAGAACAGAGUCUGUAAGAGGCUUCCUCCAUGAUGGUUCUACACUCUGGCCAGAGAUGCUGUGUGACCUAAGAAUAGCUGCCAAGAAACGAAAAGGGGGUGAGAGGGUAAGCUCAGCUCAGGGUGCUUCUCAUCCUCACUGGAUCACAUGGUAGCCCCUUGAAGGGUCCCCCCUGAGGCUCACAGUCAGUGGUGACAAGAAGCUUGCAAGAUGUGCAGAGCGCAGACAGUGUCCUUAGGCAGUCAGAAAAGACCUGUGUGCCAUGAACACAGCACCAGGUGUUGCCGAAUUUGUACUCUGGGAUGCAUAAGGUCUGGUGCCCAGGACCUUGUCACGAACACGGAAAACCCUCCCAGGUUCCCUAGGAAACAGGAAUGGUACAACACCAGAAGCAAGACGAUAAAGUGCAGUAAAGAGCUGUGGAUUUUGCUGGAGCCACCAUUAAUAGAUACAGACAGCUCUGGACAGUGCAGAAAGGUCCAAAUUUUAUUACCGAAGCUAUAAACGAGCAUCUCAAGCCUGGACAAAAGCUUUUGGAACUGGAAUAACAGGCCAGAAGUCCUGGGGGCAGG